GCCUUCGUAGCCCAUGGAGGUCGUCCUCGGUUCGUACUGAAUUAAGUUUCGAGUAUGUGGAAGGUGAGGGUUCGAGUCCCUCCGGAGGCA